rnacentral:rRNA from 1 species
GACAGCAGCAGCCGCGGGAACACCAGCACCUCGAGUGGUCAGGAGGUUUAAUGGGCCUAAAGCAUCCGUAGCCGGUUGCAUAAGUUUUCGGUUAAAUCUAUGCGCUUAACGUAUAGGCCGCCGAAAAUACUGUGCAGCUAGGGAGUGGGAGAGGUACACGGUACUCGAUAGGAAGGGGUAAAAUCCUUUGAUCUAUUGAUGACCACCUGUGGCGAAGGCGGUGUACCAGAACACGUUCGACGGUGAGGGAUGAAAGCUGGGGGAGCAAACCGGAUUAGAUACCCGUGUAGUCCCUGUCUCUUAUAC